rnacentral:rRNA from 1 species
GCCAGACUCCUACGGGAGGCAGCAGUGAGGAAUAUUGGUCAAUGGGCGGGAGCCUGAACCAGCCAAGUCGCGUGAGGGAAGACGGUCCUACGGAUUGUAAACCUCUUUUGUCGGGGAGCAAAAGACGCCACGCGUGGCGUUCCGAGAGUACCCGAAGAAAAGGCAUCGGCUAACUCCGUGCCAGCAGCCGCGGUAAUACGGAGGAUGCGAGCGUUAUCCGGAUUUAUUGGGUUUAAAGGGUGCGCAGGCGGAAUGUCAAGUCAGCGGUAAAAUUUCGGGGCUCAACCCCGUCGUGCCGUUGAAACUGGCGUUCUUGAGUGAGCGAGAAGUAUGCGGAAUGCGUGGUGUAGCGGUGAAAUGCAUAGAUAUCACGCAGAACUCCGAUUGCGAAGGCAGCAUACCGGCGCUCAACUGACGCUCAUGCACGAAAGCGUGGGUAUCGAACAGGAUUAGAUACCCGUGUA